rnacentral:lncRNA from 1 species
AGGAAUGAUUUCAAUUGGUAGUAAACAAUGACUACACAACGGUAAAUUCUAACAGUACCUGCUCAAUCUUCUGUUCCAACUUCCUCAUCUGGUUUCUUACAGAUCCCAUAUCAUUUGAAGAUUUAGCCUCUUCAUGUCGAACUGUCGGAGAAGCAGCAGAUGCGACUUUUGAAGGUUGAGUAACCUCUUCAUCUUCAUAAUUAAGGUUUACUGGGAGGUUGAGCGC